GGUGGCUCAGUGGUAGAGCACUUGCCUUGUAUGCAUGAGGCCCUGGUUCAAUACCUCAGCACCA
rnacentral:tRNA from 1 species